rnacentral:rRNA from 1 species
GGCGGGGCGGAUGAGAAGAAGUGCAUGUCGAACGCUUGUGUGGUCAACUGAUUUGAAGAGCUUGCUCAGAUAUGACGAUGGACAUUGCAAAGAGUGGCGAACGGGUGAGUAACACGUGGGAAACCUACCUCUUAGCAGGGGAUAACAUUUGGAAACAGAUGCUAAUACCGUAUAACAAUGACAACCGCAUGGUUGUUAUUUAAAAGAUGGUUCUGCUAUCACUAAGAGAUGGUCCCGCGGUGCAUUAGCUAGUUGGUAAGGUAAUGGCUUACCAAGGCGAUGAUGCAUAGCCGAGUUGAGAGACUGAUCGGCCACAAUGGGACUGAGACACGGCCCAUACUCCUACGGGAGGCAGCAGUAGGGAAUCUUCCACAAUGGGCGAAAGCCUGAUGGAGCAACGCCGCGUGUGUGAUGAAGGGUUUCGGCUCGUAAAACACUGUUGUAAGAGAAGAAUGACAUUGAGAGUAACUGUUCAAUGUGUGACGGUAUCUUACCAGAAAGGAACGGCUAAAUACGUGCCAGCAGCCGCGGUAAUACGUAUGUUCCAAGCGUUAUCCGGAUUUAUUGGGCGUAAAGCGAGCGCAGACGGUUAUUUAAGUCUGAAGUGAAAGCCCUCAGCUCAACUGAGGAAUUGCUUUGGAAACUGGAUGACUUGAGUGCAGUAGAGGAAAGUGGAACUCCAUGUGUAGCGGUGAAAUGCGUAGAUAUAUGGAAGAACACCAGUGGCGAAGGCGGCUUUCUGGACUGUAACUGACGUUGAGGCUCGAAAGUGUGGGUAGCAAACAGGAUUAGAUACCCUGGUAGUCCACACCGUAAACGAUGAGUGCUAGGUGUUUGAGGGUUUCCGCCCUUAAGUGCCGCAGCUAACGCAUUAAGCACUCCGCCUGGGGAGUACGACCGCAAGGUUGAAACUCAAAGGAAUUGACGGGGACCCGCACAAGCGGUGGAGCAUGUGGUUUAAUUCGAAGCAACGCGAAGAACCUUACCAGGUCUUGACAUCCCUUGACAACUCCAAAGAUGGAGCGUUCCCUUCGGGGACCAGGUGACAGGUGGUGCAUGGUUGUCGUCAGCUCGUGUCCUGAAAUGUGUGAGUUAAGUGACGCAACGAGCGCCACCCUUAAUUACUAGUUGCCAGCAUUUCAGUUGCGCCACUCUAGUUAAGAACGCCCCGUAGACAACCCGCAAGAAAAGAGGAGAGAUGAGGUUCGGUUGUACCUGACCCCGUAGAGAGCUGGGGCCACCACCCAGGCCGAAGGUGGACUUCAUGCAGCGGAUGUUGGACAACCAUCCCAAGAUUGACGCACGAGCCCGAGAAGGCGGGCGUCAGUAUUUCUAGUAUGAAGGCGACGCACCGACCACUACAUGUUAGACAGCCAAGCACCCGCCGUGUGAUUGUAAGAUAACGGGACAGACCGCAUGGAAACACCCGGACCCAACCCGGCGUAGUGGACGCGAACGACGGUGUUCGCGUGGGAUUGACCUGAAACGCCCACCACCCCUCACAUUGAGUGUUGAAAUGCAUC